AUGGCGAUUCCGGAGGAGCUGCGCCGCUACUGGCUGACGAUCCUCCUCGCCGCCGCCGGCUUCCUCUUCCAGCUCCUCGUCCUGCCCAAAUCCUUUCCGCCCUCCCACUACGACGCGCUCGGAAUCCAGAGGUUUGCGCCGGUGGAGAAGGUGGUCGAGGCAUACGAGCUGCUCUCCAAGGAGUGGCUUGCUGAAACAAAUGACCGGUCAACUGUUGAUAUUAUAAAGAUCCGUUAUGCGUAUGAGCUGUUGACAAAUCCAGUUUGGAAGCGGGACUAUGAUCUUUUUGGUCUGGAUCAUCAUACGGAUAUCUUCGAGAGAGUCAAAGAACAAUAUCAAAAAGAGCACUUCCUGAAAAUAGAUCUACCUUUGUUAAAAGAUUCUUUAUCUCAUUCGACUGGUCAUGCCUUCAAUGUACUCACACGUGACUCAUUGAUGUCUGCCAUUGCUGAAGAUUACCCGUUGCUCAUACAGGUUUAUUCAAAGGGGAGUCCUCGCUGCGCUCAAUUUUUUGAGUACUGGAAGCAAAUUGACACUCGACUGGACGGCGUGGCCAACACUGCUAUGGUAGAACUUGGUGAUGUGCCACUGGCGGGGUAUUUUGCAGAAAAAAGGUUCUCUCAACAGCCAUUUUUCCGCAAUGGUAUACCAGCUCUCGUUGCAUAUCCUGCUAACUGCAGAAAUCCAUCCUGUUAUAUGAGGUACCCAGGUGAGCUAACUGUGGAUUCUGUUGUCAACUGGGUAGCAUCAUCAAUUGUUGGUUUACCUCGGAUCUUGUACUAUUCAAAGGAGACACUGGGACCCCAGUUCAUUGGGAAGAGUAGCCAUCAUAAGGUCAAGGCUAUCUUUUUCUCAAGCACUGGGGAGCGUGCGGCUCCAUUCCUUCGCCAAGCUGCCCAAGAGUAUUCCAGCUAUGCAUCCUUUGCAUUUGUCCUAUGGAAAGAAGAGGAAUCCCAGAUCUGGUGGAAUUCAUUAGGAGUGGAAUCUGCUCCUGCACUUGUUUUCUUGAAGGGACCAGGUGCCAAACCUGUUGUAUACCAUGGAACUUUUAGCAAGUCCGAGUUCACAGAGAUAAUGGAGGAGCAUAAGCACCAAGAACUCCAGCAGCUAAGAAGUGACACAUCUUUGGAUCUUGGUUGUGAUGCUAGAGGUCAUUCACGCGCUGGGAAAGAAAUGAUGAUAUGGUAUUGUGUAAUAGCUGCAGGUCGCCCUGGUGUAGAAUUAAGUAAAAAGAGACAAAUUUUGAGGAAGGCCCAGGAUCAACUACUCAGUGCUGCUGGUGGAAGUACUGCUGGGAAUUUGGAAAAUUUAGUAGAGGUAACAAGUGCUGCAACUGCCUUAAAAGAUGACAGGCUGACCUUUGUUUGGUUGGAUGGAGAAUUGCAGAAGAAAAUUUGUGCCUUCUACCUUGCCACUGAUUACAAUGGAGCCUGUGGUCCUAGAGGCUUUGAAGAUGACAAUGAUAAGCCUGAAGUAUUCAUUGUCCGUUUCCAAAGAAAUGCAACAUACGAGGCGUUGAAAGCCGACAAAAAGAAUAAUCUUAUAGAGACUCUCCAGGGACAGGACACUCCUGAUGCCUCCCAGCUAGUGGCUAGGUAUAAUGGCCCAGAUGAAAUUCUGGAGAUAAACAAGUGGGUCUCUCAGAUUAUCAAAGAUGGAGAUACUAGAGAAAUUCCUUACUUUACUUCAAAGGUACCAGAUCAUGUACCUGAAGAAACAAAUAAGGAAUGGUUAAGCGGUACCAAAGGUAUCCGCUCGGCAGGGAAAAGUUUAAAAGAGAGGGUUCAGAACAGUGGCUUCAGUUUCAGAGAUUACUUAACUGACCCAAGGAUUGGUCCAGCUUUGCUGAUGCUUGCAUGCAUUUCAUGGGGAACAAUAUGGUUCAAGAAUAUCCAAUCAGCUCAGAAGACUCCAAAGGACGAAGCUCCUAAAGACAAGACCGACAAACGUCGCCGUCCGAAGCUUAGCACGACACUCUUUGGUCAACCUGAAUCCAGCGCGGAUCCUGAACCCAGAGAUGCUCGUCAGUGGGAGAUAGAGGACUCAGAUUCAGACUGA
rnacentral:rRNA from 1 species